rnacentral:rRNA from 1 species
ACGAUGGAUACUAGUCGUCGGAGUUCCUAAUCGCUCCGGUGACGAAGCUAACGCAUUAAGUAUCCCGCCUGGGAAGUACGGUCGCAAGAUUAAAACUCAAAGGAAUUGACGGGGGCCCGCACAAGCGGUGGAGCAUGUGGUNUAAUUCGAUGCUACGCGAAGAACGAUACCCAGGCUUGACAUCCCGCGCAUAGCCGAGAAAUCGGUGAAUUCUCUUCGGAGACGCGGUGACAGGUGCUGCAUGGCUGUCGUCAGCUCGUGUUGUGAGAUGUUGGGUUAAGUCCCGCAACGAGCGCAACCCUCGUCGCUAGUUACCAUCAUUAAGUUGGGCACUCUAGCGAGACCGCUGAGCUAUAAGCCAGAGGAAGGUGGGGAUGACGUCAAGUCCUCAUGGCCCUUAUGUNCUGGGGCUACACACGUGCUACAAUGGAAAGGACAAUGCGUUGCAAGCCGGCGACGGCAAGCUAAUCGCAAAAAACUUUUUUCAGUUCGGAUUGGAGUCUGCAACUCGACUCCAUGAAGCUGGAAUCGCUAGUAAUCGUGGAUCAGAACGCCACGGUGAAUACGUUCCCGGGCCUUGUACACACCGCCCGUCACACCAUGGAAGUUUGCUACACCGGAAAACGCCGAGCUAACCCGCAAGGGAGGCAAGCGUUUAUGGUUUGGCCGAUGANCUGGGGUGAAGUCGUAANCAAGGUACC